rnacentral:misc_RNA from 1 species
GAUGAAGAACGUAGCGAAAUGCGAUACUUGGUGUGAAUUGCAGAAUCCCGUGAACCAUCGAGUCUUUGAACGCAAGUUGCGCCUCAAGCCAUUAGGUUGAGGGCACGUCUGCCUGGGCGUCACAUAUCGUUGCCUGAUGCCAGUUUCCUCGUGAUGGGUGACUGUGCAGGGCGAAUGAUGGCUUCCCGUGAGCAUUGUUGCCUCAUGGUUGGUUGAAAAUUGAGUCCUUGGUAGGGAGCGCCGUGAUAGAUGGUGGUUGAGUGACGAACGAGACCCAAUCAUGUGAGACCCCUACCGAAUUUGGCCUUCAUGACCCACAUGCGUCUUUGGAACGCUCAUGACGAGACCUCAGGUCAGGCGGGGCUACCCGCUGAGUUUAAACAUAUCAAUAAGCGGAGGA